AGUACAUUCCUCAAAUGGCCUUUCUCUAACAAUGGAAAAAAAAAUAAGCAAAAAAGAAAGCAGCAACAAACCUGCAUUAAAAGUCAAAUGAAGAACCAUAUUAUGAGGAAAAGCACUGCUCUAUUACUUUGGCUGUAGGUGUUGGAAGAUGAAAUUCUGCUCAUCUUCCGGGCAAACAAAUCCCCAUCCUACAAUGUGCAGAUAAGCUGCUAAAAUGCUGGGACAGAUAGACCUGGGGAAACACUAAGAAAUUCCCGACUUCCUGUAUGGCACCAAGUGUGAGCACAAAGAAGAGGGAUGAAGAGGAGGACGGGUCAUCACUUAAGGUUGUAAACUCCUCUUGCUAAGGAAAAGAAGGCGGCCUGCUCCCUCUAUAGGCUUCCCUGGUUGUUGCUUUCACAAACCAGCUAUCCAGGAGAUCAGAGCUGCAUGCUUUUGAAGACUGUCAAAAAUGCUGAAGACUCUGGCUCCUCAGUUGCACCAGCACUGCAAUUUCUGGCAUCGUUCUGGAAGAAGACUAUAAGACAACCCAGCAUUACCUUUCAGAGGGUUGUGCCAUCAUGCUACUCUAUUGUACCACCAGAGUGUUGCAAAGAGUGCCUUGCAAUGUGGAGCUACCCAAACCUAACAAGGCUUGGGAGUGACGUAUUCAUUACUAUAUGCGUGACCUCAUCUUCAAAGGAAGAUUAGCAUUAGCAAAUUUAUGAU